UCUCCGUAGGUGAACCAGCGGAAGGAUCAUUAUCGUACAACCGAGUCGCGAGCGCUGCUGUUGACCCGAAUAGACGUGCACGCCCGAGUCCCCUCACACACAUCCAUCUCACCCCUAUCUGCACCACCGCGCGGCUCCCCCUGUGGCUUGUUCGGUGGGGGGCUUACGUCUUCACGCAGACUUUGAAUGCCGUGCAGAAUGUAUUUUUUGUUUUUGCGCUCUCGCACUCAAUAAAACUUUCAACAACGGAUCUCUUGGCUCUG
rnacentral:misc_RNA from 1 species